UGAUGCUGGAGGGAGCCUGGCCCAUGCUCAAACACUCGCUGCAGUGAAGCGAGAAGCUGCAGUCUGAUGAAAAGAUGACCAGAAAGCUUCCUCGUAUGUUCUCGGCUCAGCUGCAGCCUCAUUCCUCACCCGGUUCUCCAGUCUCUCAACAUAAAGCCCGCCUUCCUCUCCUGACUACUCAGUCUUCCAGCCUUCAGCCUACUCUGCAGCCAAGCCCACCCCUCUCCGUCUUCUGCCCUACCCCUUUCCCUCCUCUGGCAGCCCCUUCCUACUAUCCCACCUUAAGGAUCUCCAUGCCCAGCACCUCCAGACAUUCAGCUAAGCGCACUGUGCAUCUCCCCCCACUUUCCUGCUACUCCUCCAUUCUUGUCCCUACUCCCCCCAACAGCCCUGUUGAAUAGUUCCCUUCUCUCCAGUCCCCACCUUCAACCCUCCCACCCUCCCUCAGCCAUACCAGGUGAGCCACCAAUCUCAUUGUGGGGAAAGAAAGGUUCCCCUACUGCUACCAUCAUCCAGAAGUUCCAGGGCUGUGGGCACCUGGAAGCUUGACCUUACAAACAUCAUUCAGAAGUCCCGGGUUGUGGGCACCUGGAAGCUUGACCUUACAGACAAGGAAUGCAGAACCGUGGAGCCAAUAUGGAGUGCCUCUCUGUUGACUUCCAUACUGACUGGGUCUUGGCAGCUGAUCCUAACUGAGCAGGAACCCAGAGAUUUCUAGAGAAAUCAUCCCCCUAAGGAUACCAGUAUUUCUUGGUUCACAGUCGUGGCCUGGAAGGGCUCCAGAGUAAAGCCCUGGCUCUGGGGUGGAAAGAAUACACGUGGACACGUUGCAUCCUUCACCUUCCUAGACACUUGUGGCAAGCUCACUGCAUGUGACAGGAAGGACCAGGGUGGCUGGCCCAGCCAGACCAGCUUGCUUCAGACUCCUUUGGAACCUGCAGAUAAUAGACUGUGUAUGUCCAAGUUGCAAGAUGUCUGAAGCAUUCCGUGCCUUCUCAUUAUAAACUUGGGGAUGAUAUCAUCAGGUGACACUGGUGACAACCUAAGACAUUAUACUCUCCAAAACAUUGGAUCCAAGUGCUGUGGGCCUGUAAGAUGCACCCCAGCCGGCUUCAGAAUGGUGCUUGGGGACAAAAUCAGCUUGUGGUGUGCCAACAUGAGUGGGAAACCCUCACCCCACUCAGAAAGAGCACCCCCAACUUCAAUCUGGGAACAUGGGAAGCCAUGCUGAGGGGGCAUCUCAGCAUGUCUCCUUAUAUUUGCUUAAAAUAUAUUGAUUACGUUUAUUGCAACAGUA